rnacentral:lncRNA from 1 species
UAUAUGUGUGCACUUAGGUUUUAGAUUGACACCCACAUACAGUAUGGUAGUUAGUUCUAAAUGCUUGGAACUUUUUCUCUCCUGUUCGCUGGAUUGGCUACACUAGUUGUGAUUUUACAUUUUUUACAAAAAGUAGAACUGUUCAGCAUUAAGUGAAUCAAUGUGCAUUUAUUUUUUGUUUUCAUUCAGCACUUACUGAAGUAGUAGUGAAAUAUUAAAGAUAGUUUGAUCUUCUGUGAAUCACGUUGCUUGAAGUACUUGAUUUAUUGAUUAGUAUGGGGAACAUUCCAGCUGAUGUAAAUAUUGAAUGCCCAUGAAUUUGUAUACACACACACACACACACACACACACACACACACACACACACACACACACACACACACACACACACACACACACACACACACACACACACACACACACACACACAGAGAUUAGUGAGACACCAGUGUGUUACCUACGAGGAGACCCCAGCGGCUUACACACACACAGUCAUACACAUUUAAACAUGGAAAGAGUUAAUUCUGGGCAAUGACGUCAGUUCAUCAACAAAACAAAAUCUAUUAAAUGCUUGUACACACAGAUAUCCAGAACUCUGAAAAAUGCACCUUAUGUUUCCUAAAUUUUGGGGGUACUAUCCAAUAAUGCUGUAUAUCAAUUUUGGAACUGGGAUUUGGAAUCCAAUUGCUUUUAAAAACCUGUUUGCGAAUAAACAACCUAAACGAACAGAGCAUUAAGCCAGUCACUCAUGUGUGUAUAUCUGUAUUUUGUAUGGUGUGUAUAAGAUCUGUGUAAUUUACUCUUUGGACAUUUUUGUCACUAGUCCUUGGUAUUCACCUAACUGUAUUAACAUGUCUUUAAAAUCUAAGGUAUCAAAGCACAAAUCAUAGUACAGAAACAAAAAAACAAAAAAAAUGUUAAACAUACAUAAAAAGGGUAACAUUGUGAUGUUCAGUGGAAAGUACAAUAUCAUGGAAGACCCCAGUUUCAAAAAUUAAUCACAGUGCAGGUGGAAAUAAAACGGAUUGUUGUUUUCAAAUAAAUACCACUACAAUAAAAUGUC